AGAGGCAGAUUACACUAAAACUCUAGUACUAUUUUCCUCUGAAUUAUGAUGGAGGAAAAUAACUCAGCAACUGAUUCCAAUUUGAGCGUUCCUAUCAUAGACCUCAUACACAACACAACAAUAUCAAUCGUGUAGAGGUAAUUAACCAAAUUAAAGAUGCAUGCAAAAAGUGGAGAUUUUUCCAAGUGAGAUUAAUCUCUGUUGAUGUCUUGGAUGAGAUGAUUGAUGGAACAUGUAGAUUUCAUGAACAAGAUAUUGAGGUAAGGACAAAAUUUUAAUUAUACUCGUUAUUUGAAAAAGAAAAAUCUUGUCCAUGUCUUCGUUCCUUUCAAUUUAUUCUUUUGUUUUCACGUUUAAGAGCAUGUAAAUGUAAGUUGAAAAGUUAUCUUCUUAAACAAAUGUCAUUUUUAACCAUACUUAAUUUCUAUUAGGAAACAUACUGCACGUUCAAAUAUGGAGAGCCUUGUGAACCAUACUUAAGUUGUGGGGAUCGAAAUGUGGUCCUCCCACAUCUUGUUAUGUUUGCUCGAUCAUUUUAUUAAAUUUAUUUAAAAUAAUUUUACACCGACCAUAUUAAUAAAUUAAAUUCUUAUACUCCCUCCGAACAUAAAUAUAAGCAAAAGUGCACUUUUUAGAUUCAUGGAAUAAUGGAUGUAAAGUGCAUUUUUCCUUAUAUUUAUGUCCGGAGGGAGUAUGAAAUAUGCAUUUAAGUAGUUAUACCAGAUUUUUAGUCAAAAAAUAAAAAGUUAUAGCAGAUUUAAGAAAAAAAUAAAGAUUCAUACUUAAAAAUUAAUUAGCCUAUGACAAAUCUAGAUCUUAAGAAUUUUUAUCAAGUCAAAUUUAGACCUUUCUUUCUAGCUAUUCACACCCCCCUAUUUUUCAUUGAUGCAAACCAUGUGGUAAACAAGUUAAAUUUGCUUUGUCUUUAUGUAAUAUUUUUCUCACUUUGUAUGUUAAAUUUCUUCUUUCUUUUUGUUCUUGACGGUUUCGUUUCCACAGUGAGGCUUCAUCCAUAUUCUUUUUUAUUCCAAACAACAAUAUAGGGGGGUUAAAAUUCAUAUUAAGCUAACAUGCACUAACAAACAAGAAUAGUAUGUCACAUUUGAUUGCUAUUUUAAAUAAUAAAAUAAUGUGAUCACAAAGCAUAAAAUUCAAAAUUCAAAUUUUCCCAUCUUUUAUGGUGAAUUCGGGCCCUGAAUUAGCAAGCAGGCAAAAAAGGUUCGGCCCAAUUUUGAAGGAAGUCCACUUCGGUGCUAAAAAAAAAAACCAUUCCAUUGCAACACAGAGAACCACUUGAUGAUAUUGUAGUAUCAGUUUGACAAUUUUUUCUUCUGUCCACACCAUCAACACAGAGAACCAAAUCCCAAAUCAGUGAAAACAACAAAUUUGCUCCAGCUUAAAUGGCUUUUAUCAUCAACCCAUUAUGAUUUUAAGCUGAACCAAAUCCCAUUCUGAUUUUGUCUGCAACAACAAGACAAAAUUCACAAUUCUACGCAUUCAAUCCCUCACUCUCUCUUUUUCAACUAUCUCGCCAUUCUCUUCUUUCUUCUCCUCCUUUUUAGUUUUUGCCAUUGUCAAAUCAAAAAUCAAUCUCAACCUCAAAACCCUAAAAACCCAAUUGUCCCACUCAAAACAAUAAUAACUACAAAAGCUACAUCACCUUCCAUUCUCCAACGUCCAACCCCGUUGUAUUUCAGAUUACGAAAUCUAACGUGGAAGAAAAAGCAAAAGCCACCGAAGCGACUAUCUGUUCAAGCUUUUGUUGAUUGGAGACUCUGGUGUGGGCAAGUCAUGUCUCCUCCCGAGGUUUGUUGUUCGUCGAUGUGAUGCAAUUACUUACAAGAAAAGAUUUGAAUUUGAACUUCCCCCCUUCAAUUUUCACACCAGAAUGAGGUUUCCAUCCAAAGCUGAGAAUCUAAUGUUAAGGAUGAGGCACCCUGCUAAACAAGAGGAAAAGUGCUCACAAUAUAUUGAAUCUCAACUGAUACAACUCACUAAGAACCAUCAAAUGAUGAAACAACUAUUAAAAGCUAUUUAGUAUAUUUCUUCAAAAUAGGAUAUAUAGCUUUGAAAAAUAGGAUGAAUGAUUAAUGAAAAAGUUAUUAGGAAACUAUUGUUCUUAUUUCAAAACAUUCAAUUUUUUAUUUCAUUAUUAGGAUUCUUUUUAUUAGUACCAUUCUGAAAAGAAAAAAAAAACUGAACUAGAGAUGUUAAGCCGGAAAAAUUUCAAAGCAUGAAAGUUCAGCAAAAGCUUUUUCAGAGGUCUGCAAUUUAACUUAUGUUAUUGUUGUAUUGCAAUAUACUAAUCAUUUUAGAUAUAUAUAUAUAUAUCUGCUUUAUUGUUUGUGAGGUCAUUUGGUUUCUUUCUUUUAUUAUUGUGAACGUAGUCAUAAAUCGAAUGUGUUUUGAAUGUAGUAUGACUAUGUAUUACAUUUUGAUCCAUCUUCGGAAGAAUGAUAACUUUUUAAAUUAUGUAAUAUUUAAUUUUUGAUAUUAGGUUGUUUGUGAUUUUGACAAUAUGUGUUGGCAUGUAGUAUGAUUAUGCAUUAUAUUUUGGUCCUAAAUAGAAAUAAUGCAUAUAUUUUUUAAUUGUGUGAUAUCAAGGCAAAUUUCACGGAUAUUGAAAUCUUAAUUGCCAUCAAUUUGUUUAUUGAAUGAUAGAUUUAUUAACUAUAACAUUUUGACAUUACGUAUUUUCACAAUAUAUAAUUAUCUAUUUAACUUUAUCACAAAUUUAUAUAGCAAUUGCAAAUUAUAUACUCCCUCCGGUCCUUUUUAUAAGG